rnacentral:rRNA from 1 species
CACGCCCUAAACGAUGUUCUCUAGCUUUUUGGAGUAUCGACCCUCUGAGAGGCACAGCUAACGCGUUAAGAGAACCGCCUGGGAAGUACGGCCGCAAGGCUAAAACUCAAAAGAAUAGACGGGGGCUCGCACAAGCGGUGGAUUAUGUGGUUUAAUUCGAUGCUAAACGAAGAACCUCACCAAGGCUAGACAUCCAACUGAAGGGUCUGGGAAACCAGGUCUCUCCCACAAGGACAGUUGGACAGGUGA